UCAGUCUCCUGUCCAUAACUGUUAGGGGAAAUCAACCUAGUUAGCAUAUGUGACUCCAUUUUGGGUUUCCUCUUGGCCAUUAACUAGAAGCGAGCACAUCACCUACCAAGGAAGGAAGGAUCCUUCAAGGUGGACAGCUGGAUAGUUUCAACAUA